rnacentral:rRNA from 1 species
UACGGAGGGGGCUAGCGUUGUUCGGAAUUACUGGGCGUAAAGCGCACGUAGGCGGUUACUCAAGUCAGAGGUGAAAGCCCGGAGCUCAACUUCGGAAUUGCCUUUGAAACUAGGUGACUUGAACACGGGAGAGGUGAGUGGAAUUCCGAGUGUAGAGGUGAAAUUCGUAGAUAUUCGGAAGAACACCAGUGGCGAAGGCGGCUCACUGGACCGUUGUUGACGCUGAGGUGCGAAAGCGUGGGGAGCAAACAGG